AUAUUUUAAAAGUUAUAGGAUAUUAUUUGAUUUUUAUAAUAGAGGUUAAUUAAACUUUUUGGUUGGAUAUAUAUUAUAGGCUUUUUUAAAAUGUUAGAAGAUUUUAUUUGGUUGCUUAAUAAGGGUUAGUUAUAUUUGGUUUUAUAUUAUAGGUUGGACUAAAAAAUGAAAGGGUCCAACAACUUUAUAUAAGUAGAUUUUUCAAGACUGCUUCCCUUUUAAUAGUAUAGAUUAAAACAAACUGUAAUUAAAUACAUAAUCGUAUCAAAAACAUGGUUAGAUUAUCAUGUAUAUUUAAUAUAAUUUUUUUUUUUGUUUUUUUUGGUAGGAGGCAGGAGACAUGAAUCUCCUACUUAUUAUAUAAUUUUAUAAUACCUAUAUUUUUUAAUCACAACAGAGUAUUACAUUUUUCAUUUUACCUUAUUUAUAUCUUUUUAUUUGAUUUGCAUCUUAUUCAUAUUGAUGAUUUAGUUUUUUUUUUACAUCGAAAAACUAUUAUAUUACUCAAACUUGAGGUGAUCUGGGUAAUCAAACCUAAUUUGAGGUGGUCUGGGUAACCAAACCUGAAUAGAUCAACCAACGAAAUAGAGUAUUCUACGGAAAGACCUCGCAUUCAUAGCUAAGAAAUCUGAAAUCUGAUUCUGCACUCGUAGAAUAUGAAAAAUCUUAAAAUCCGGGAAGCAUAUCUUGAGAGUCUCUAUCCUCUCCAAUUUUGUCGUAAAGCUCGGUCAAGCAUGAGGCUUGUUGAUCAUUGCAAUCAAAUCCUCGCAGUCCGUUCCAAAACUUUGACAAGUCGAAUGCUGGAGCAUACUCUCC
rnacentral:lncRNA from 1 species